rnacentral:lncRNA from 1 species
GCGUCUCAAUUUCACUCGAACUUAUGAUUUCUCAAGGGCCUUUUGGUCAUUUCAUUAUGCACGUUUUUAUUUUCUAAACCUAUGUUUUAAACAUCUUUGGUAGCCACCAGAGGCAGAUUAUCUUUUAUCUUUUGAUCGAUUGAGAAAUACACAAAAACUCUCUGGAGAAGUUCAUCUCUUGGAUUUUGAUUGUUAUGUUCUUGUGUUAUUGUUGAUUUCUUAUCUAUUUCUCUACAUGAUUAAUCUGAAAUCCAAUAUGGGUUUAAGAGGAAUCAUGGAGAUUAGUGAGUAAUCACUUUGUGAAUUCAUGGGUUAGGG